rnacentral:rRNA from 1 species
AACGAACGCUGGCGGCAGGCUUAACACAUGCAAGUCGAACGCCCCGCAAGGGGAGUGGCAGACGGGUGAGUAACGCGUGGGAACAUACCCUUUUCUACGGAAUAGCUCUGGGAAACUGGAAUUAAUACCGUAUACGCCCUACGGGGGAAAGAUUUAUCGGGGAAGGAUUGGCCCGCGUUGGAUUAGCUAGUUGGUGGGGUAAAGGCCUACCAAGGCGACGAUCCAUAGCUGGUCUGAGAGGAUGAUCAGCCACAUUGGGACUGAGACACGGCCCAAACUCCUACGGGAGGCAGCAGGGGGGAAUAUUGGACAAUGGGCGCAAGCCUGAUCCAGCCAUGCCGCGUGAGUGAUGAAGGCCUUAGGGUUGUAAAGCUCUUUCACCGAUGAAGAUAAUGAGGGAAGUCGGAGAAGAAGCCCCGGCUAACUUCGU